UCUUUUUCUAAACCUAACUGGGAAUUGUGCUGUGAUCACGAAAGAUGUUUCCCAUUGAAAUACAUUUUUUUAAAACGUGCUGACCAUCACAAAGAAACCGACUAAG